UUCAGCCGACCCGUGGUAUAAGCACGACAAAGAGCGCCGACAGACGGAGAUGUAGAUAUCUCCGGUCUAUAGGGACGCGUCCGUAUCCUAUACACACGCAGGAGAGCAAUGACCCACUGCGCGCGGUGCACGUGUGCCGAGUGGAAACCACGACGACUGCCUCUGGACAGGGCAUUGGACGCCGCGUGCGGCAUCCUGUAAAGACACGUGGGUCAACACGACUUACGUGGCUCAAAACACACGCAGUGUCGGGGUCGUGGCGAGAUCGACAAGGGUUCCGAGCAUCGAAGGUAGAAGAGGUCGAAUGAUAGGUGGUAGGGGUAUGGACCAGCUACGAAACUCGAAAGCGGGGAGAAGAGAGUAGUGGGGUUAGGGUCGAGGUAGUAAUCAACUCUAGAGCGAUGUCGUACCUUGACCAAUCU